rnacentral:rRNA from 1 species
UUGUUACAUGGGCGAAAGCCUGACUCAGCCACGCCGCGUGUGUGAUGAAGGCCUUCGGGUUGUAAACCCCUUUCAUGAGGAAAGAUAAAUGAGGGUACCCAAUUAUAAACAAGCCCCUCGAAUAACUACGCCGCCAACUAACCUGCCGGUGCCAACCUAGCCUGCCGCGAUAAUA